rnacentral:rRNA from 1 species
GUGGGGAAUAUUGGGCAAUGGGCGAAAGCCUGACCCAGCAACGCCGCGUGAAGGAAGAAGGUUUUCGGAUUGUAAACUUCUGUCCUCAGGGAAGAAGGAAGUGACGGUACCUGAGGAGGAAGCCCCGGCUAACUACGUGCCAGCAGCCGCGGUAAUACGUAGGGGGCGAGCGUUGUCCGGAAUGACUGGGCGUAAAGGGCGCGUAGACGGUUUUUUAAGUCUGGAGUGAAAGUCCUGCUUUCAAGGUGGGAAUUGCUUUGGAGACUGGAAGGCUUGAGUGCGGAAGAGGUAAGCGGAAUUCCCGGUGUAGCGGUGAAAUGCGUAGAGAUCGGGAGGAACACCAGUGGCGAAGGCGGCUUACUGGACUGUAACUGACGCUGAGGCGCGAAAGUGUGGGGAGCAAACAGGAUUAGAAACCCCUGUAGUCC